AUACGGAGGAUCCGAGCGUUAUCCGGAUUUAUUGGGUUUAAAGGGUGCGCAGGCGGCCAUUUAAGUCAGCGGUUAAAUCGUGGGGCUCAACCCCAUUCUGCCGUUGAUACUGGGUGGCUUGAUUGCGGUCGAGGUUGGCGGAAUUCGUUGUGUAGCGGUGAAAUGCAUAGAUAUGACGAAGAACACCGAUUGCGUAGGCAGCUGACCAGACCGCAAAUGACGCUCAUGCACGAAAGUGCGGGGAUCGAACAGGAUUAGAUACCCUGGUAGUCCGCACAGUAAACGAUGAAUACUUGUUUUCGGCGAUAUAAUGUCGGAGGCAAAGCGAAAGCGAUAAGUAUUCCACCUGGGGAGUACGCCGGCAACGGUGAAACUUAAAGGAAUUGGCGGGG
rnacentral:rRNA from 1 species